rnacentral:rRNA from 1 species
AUGGCUCAGGAUGAACGCUAGCGGCAGGCUUAAUACAUGCAAGUCGAACGGGAUUCAGGUAGCAAUACUUGAUGAGAGUGGCGCACGGGUGCGUAACACGUAUGCAACCUACCUUUAACUGGUGAAUAGCCCCGGGAAAUCGGGAUUAAUACACCAUAACAUUACAAGAGGGCAUCCUCUAAUAAUUAAAGAACUUCGGUUAAAGAUGGGCAUGCGGGACAUUAGCUAGUUGGUGAGGUAACGGCUCACCAAGGCAACGAUGUCUAGGGGUCCUGAGAGGGUUAUCCCCCACACUGGUACUGAGACACGGACCAGACUCCUACGGGAGGCAGCAGUAAGGAAUAUUGGUCAAUGGGCGCAAGCCUGAACCAGCCAUGCCGCGUGAAGGAAGACGGCGCUAUGCGUUGUAAACUUCUUUUGUCAGGGAAUAAAUGUAGGUACGUGUACUUACUUGAAGGUACCUGAAGAAUAAGCAUCGGCUAACUCCGUGCCAGCCGCCGC